CGAAGAUAGCAGAGCACCGCACAGAUGAUCCUUCUGAAUAAUAUCUCGCCUCUGGCAUAACUUCAGCAUCUGUUGCUGAGCUACGUUUUUGCUCUUGCUGCUGAAGAGGCUGGAGGGAAAGAAAGGAACUAACAAAAGUUUCCUGCCACUAUUGCAUGUGUUCCUUCCUUUGGAAAUAUGGUAUUAAUGGAGACGGAUGCUUGAUUUCUUGUUUCUAACACUUCAUCAGCCUCAGGAGUUUUCUCUCCCCAGCAGCAAAAUAGUUACAUUUCUGUGACAUGAAGCUCCCCCUCAUUUUUCUGUACUCCAGAUGCCUAGCUCUCAAGCCGCAUGACAGAUCCAGCAUGCUUCCAGUCUAGAAGAUUAAAAGAAGAAGUGUAUUUUUUUUUUCUGUUCCACCUGAUCUUUGAGCAUGACCUCGAGGACGGCGUGUGUGACUCUAAGUGCAUCCUCAUCCACACUUGUCUGGACCUCCUGGCACCCGACCAUCCCUACACCUGGCAUCCCUACAUAGGAUGGCAAAUGUCUGGGCUCAGGAGGGCUUUGGAGUGAGGUGCAGGCACAGUACUCACUACUGUUCCCCAAACUCAUGCUCAGAAAAGUGUAGUCUGAGAGAUGCCUUCAUAGCAGGUCCUUCAUUAUUAAAGCUCCAGGACUGAUCCUUUGGAAAACCUAG
ensembl:lncRNA